AGCAGGAACAGCAAGAUGGUGUCCCAGACCCCAGUCCUCCUGUUUCUGUUGCUCUGGGUCUCUGGUGUCUGCGGGGAUAUUGUGAUGACCCAGUCUCCAGACUCCCUGGCUGUGUCUGCUGAAGAGACCGUCACCAUCCGCUGCAAGUCCAGCCAAAGUCUUCUGUACAGCAAUAACAACAAGAACUACUUGUCCUGGUACCAGCAGAAACUGGGACAGUCUCCCAAACUGCUCAUCUACUGGGCAUCCACCCGGGAGUCUGGGGUCCCAGACAGGUUCAGUGGCAGUGGGUCUGGGACGGAUUUCACUCUCACCAUCAGCAGCCUGCAGGCUGAAGAUGUGGCAGAUUAUUACUGUCUGCAGAGCUAUAGCACUCCUCCCACAGUGAUUCAGCCUCGAACAUAAACUUCCUCUCAGGGCCUCCCCAGCUGUUUGCUCCCCACACAGCCCUGAACUUGCACACUUCCUCUCUGCCUCAGAGACUGUGUCUUGUUCUAUGCCUGAGAGAUUUUGCUGAUCUUAGUAGAAAAUAAGGGGUCUCAGUGUUUAUUCUUUUGUUGUGAGAGGUCCAUAAGGGAAAUGUUGUAAAGACCUCUGUAUUAGUUUUCUAUUUCUUAUGUAUUAAUUUAUUGCAAGCUCAGUGGCUUUAACAUAAAUUGAUCAUUUUAACUCUUUUGGGAAGUUAUCUACAAGGGAAA